CCCCCAUGAGGAAACCCCCGCGCGUCUGACCCCCCCCACCCGCCGCCAGAACCUGCCAAAGGUUGAACCCACUGGUGGCAGUGGGGGGGGGCAGGAGGACGCCUCGUCCCGAGUGGACGGUCUGAGGGGG